UAAAACCAGCUCUUCGAGUGGUGUCCAUGAUUAUUGAGCUUAAAGCGUUCGUAGCCUGCUUGGUAGGUCCCUGCUUAAAUCCGGUCGCUCAACGGUCGGUCUGGUAGGGAUACCGCCUUGCUUGGGGACGGGAGACGGCAACGGUAUUCCAUAGGUAAGGGUGAAAUCUAAUGAUCUAUGGAGGACCACCAGUGGCGAAGGCGGUUGCCGAGAACGUGCCCGACGGUGAGGGACGAAACCCAGGGGAGCAAAUCGGAUUAGAUACCCGAGUAGUCCUGGGCGUAAACGAUGCCCGUUAAGUGUUGCAUUGGCCACGAGCCACUGCGGUGCUGUAGCGAAAGCGAUAAACGGGCCGCUUGGGAAGUACGGUCGCAAGACUG
rnacentral:rRNA from 1 species